GCCAGUGUGGCCCAGUGGUUAGAGUGUCAGACUAUAACCUGGAAGAUCAGGGUUCAAAUCCCCACUCAGCCG